rnacentral:rRNA from 1 species
UACAGGGGUGGCAAGCGUUGUUCGGAAUUACUGGGCGUAAAGCGUGCGCAGGCGGUUUUGUAAGUCUGUCGUGAAAUCCCCGGGCUCAACCUGGGAAUUGCGAUGGAGACUGCAAGGCUAGAAUCUGGCAGAGGGGGGUAGAAUUCCACGUGUAGCAGUGAAAUGCGUAGAGAUGUGGAGGAACACCGAUGGCGAAGGCAGCCCCCUGGGUCAAGAUUGACGCUCAUGCACGAAAGCGUGGGGAGCAAACAGG